GACGAACGCUGGCGGCGUGCUUAACACAUGCAAGUCGAACGGAAAGGCCCUGCUUGCAGGGUACUCGAGUGGCGAACGGGUGAGUAACACGUGGGUGAUCUGCCCUGCACUUCGGGAUAAGCUUGGGAAACUGGGUCUAAUACCGGAUAGGAGCCAUCUUUAGUGUGGUGGUUGGAAAGUUUUUUCGGUGUAGGAUGAGCUCGCGGCCUUUCAGCUUGUUGGUGGGGUAAUGGCCUACCAAGGCGGCGACGGGUAGCCGGCCUGAGAGGGUGUACGGCCACAUUGGGACUGAGAUACGGCCCAGACUCCUACGGGAGGCAGCAGUGGGGAAUAUUGCACAAUGGGCGCAAGCCUGAUGCAGCGACGCCGCGUGGGGGAUGAAGGCCUUCGGGUUGUAAACUCCUUUCGCUAGGGACGAAGCUUUGUUGUGACGGUACCUAGAUAAGAAGCACCGGCUAACUACGUG
rnacentral:rRNA from 1 species